ACGACUGCUAAGACUGGAUAGGAGACAAGAAGGCAUCUUCUUGUUUUUAAAAGACCUAGCAAUAGGUAUGCUUAGGGAGGAGCUUGCGUCACAUUAGUUAGUUGGUGGGGUAAAGGCCUACCAAGACUAUGAUGUGUAGCCGGGCUGAGAGGUUGAACGGCCACAUUGGGACUGAGACACGGCCCAAACUCCUACGGGAGGCAGCAGUAGGGAAUUUUCGGCAAUGGAGGAAACUCUGACCGAGCAACGCCGCGUGAACGAUGAAGUAUUUCGGUACGUAAAGUUCUUUUAUUAGGGAAGAAUAAAUGAUGGAAAAAUCAUUCUGACGGUACCUAAUGAAUAAGCCCCGGCUAACUAUGUGCCAGCAGCCGCGGUAAUACAUAGGGGGCAAGCGUUAUCCUGAAUUAUUGGGCGUAAAGGGUGCGUAGGCGGUUAAAUAAGUUUAUGGUCUAAGUGCAAUGCUCAACAUUGUGAUGCAAUAAAAACUGUUUAGCUAGAGUAAGAUAGAGGCAAGUGGAAUUCCAUGUGUAGUGGUAAAAUGCGUAAAUAUAUGGAGGAACACCAGUAGCGAAGGCGGCUUGCUGGGUCUUUACUGACGCUGAGGCACGAAAGCGUGGGGAGCAAACAGGAUUAGAUACCCUGGUAGUCCACGCCGUAAACGAUGAGUACUAAACGUUGGUUAAAACCAGUGUUGAAGUUAACACAUUAAGUACUCCGCCUGAGUAGUACGUACGCAAGUAUGAAACUUAAAGGAAUUGACGGGACUCCGCACAAGCGGUGGAUCAUGUUGUUUAAUUCGAAGGUACCCGAAAAACCUUACCAGGUCUUGACAUGCUUCUGCAAAGCUGUAGAAACACAGUGGAGGUUAUCAGUUGCACAGGCGGUGCAUGGUUGUCGUCAGCUCGUGUCGUGAGAUGUUGGGUUAAGUCCCGCAACGAGCGCAACCCUUAUUGUUAGUUACCAGCACGUAAUGGUGGGGACUUUAGCAAGACUGCCAGUGAUAAAUUGGAGGAAGGUGGGGACGACGUCAAAUCAUCAUGCCCCUUAUGACCUGGGCUACAAACGUGAUACAAUGGCUGUUACAAAGGGUAGCUGAAGCGCAAGUUUUUGGCGAAUCUCAAAAAAACAGUCUCAGUUCGGAUUGAAGUCUGCAACUCGACUUCAUGAAGUUGGAAUCGCUAGUAAUCGCGAAUCAGCAUGUCGCGGUGAAUACGUUCUCGGGGUUUGUACACACGCCCGUCA
rnacentral:rRNA from 1 species